rnacentral:sRNA from 2 species
GCGCGCGUCCUAGGGGAGUAGUCUCCCGUGAAUGCCUGCAUUCACCCGGCACGCGUCAACAUACUUGGUCAACAGACCAUGGCGCGUGCGACCCGAAGCCCAACCAUUGGGCU